rnacentral:rRNA from 1 species
GCACGGAAGUUAGCCGAUGCUUAUUCCUCAGAAUACCGUCAUUGUGUUCUUCUCUGAGAAAAGGAGUUUACGACCCACGGGCCUUCCUCCUCCACGCGGUAUUGCUCCGUCAGGCUUUCGCCCAUUGCGGAAAAUUCCUCA